CGUGCAGGCCGGGUGACCGCGGGCCGCUCCGUCGUGAGGCGGAGGCGGCUCGAGGAAAGUCCGGACACCGCAGGGCAGGACGCUGGAGAGUCCCUCGGGGCGAUCCAGGCGGCGAAAGCCGACGGAAAGUGGAACAGAAAGGAGACCGCCGGCCGAUUUGUGCACGAUAGGGGCCUGUCCGGAAAGUGGUCGCCCCGGAUGGCGCAUGACACGUGCCGCGAGGCAAGGACGCAGGGAGCGCCAAUAUGCAGGUAUAUUGACGCGACUGAGGACGCCGCAUCGCGGUGCGUGGUACGUGCCAGGCGGCCGGAUCCACUUUCCGGACAGGCCCCUAGGCCGGUAAGGGUGAAACGGUGGGGUAAGAGCCCACCAGCGGCCGUGGCGACACAGCCGGCUAGCCAAACCCCGUCCGGUGCAAGGCGAAGCAGGUCCCGUUGACGCGGCCCGCCGAGGGACCGG
rnacentral:RNase_P_RNA from 1 species